CUCUUCAGAUUUCGGCAAGCCACGUCUCUGAACGCCGAUCAGCAAAGUUUCAUCCAGGCAUAUGUGGGGAUUAUUUUCUCAAAUAUGCUUCUAACUCCAACUCCAUGAGUUCUCCUGUCAAAGCAGAGGAUCCAAUCGAGAGAUUGAAAGGAGACGUGAGGAAGAUGUUGACAGAGGCUAUGGAUAAGCCUUCCCAGAAGUUGAACUUAAUCGAC